UAGGGACAAUAUAAAUUUUUG
rnacentral:piRNA from 1 species